GACGAACGCUGGCGGCGUGCUUAACACAUGCAAGUCGAACGGAAAGGCCCUGCUUUUGUGGGGUGCUCGAGUGGCGAAGGGGUGAGUAACACGUGAGUAACCUGCACUUGACUUUGGGAUAACUUCAGGAAACUGGGGCUAAUACCGGGUAGGAGUUCCUGCUGCAUGGUGGGGGUUGGAAAGUUUCGGCGGUUGGGGAUGGACUCGCGGCUUAUCAGCUUGUUGGGGGGGUAGUGGCUUACCAAGGCUUUGACGGGUAGCCGGCCGGAGAGGGUGACCAGGCACAGUGGGACUGAGAUACGGCCCAGACUCCUACGGGAGGCAGCAGUGGGGAAUAUUGCACAAUGGGCGGAAGCGUGAUGCAGCAACGCCGCGUGCGGGAUGACGGCCUUCGGGUUGUAAACCGCUUUCGCCUGUGACGAAGCGGGAGUGACGGUAAUGGGUAAAGAAGCACCGGCUAACUACGUG
rnacentral:rRNA from 1 species